rnacentral:rRNA from 1 species
GAUGAACGCUGGCGGCGUGCCUAAUACAUGCAAGUCGAGCGAACAGACGAGGAGCUUGCUCCUCUGACGUUAGCGGCGGACGGGUGAGUAACACGUGGAUAACCUACCUAUAAGACUGGGAUAACUUCGGGAAACCGGAGCUAAUACCGGAUAAUAUAUUGAACCGCAUGGUUCAAUAGUGAAAGACGGUUUUGCUGUCACUUAUAGAUGGAUCCGCGCCGCAUUAGCUAGUUGGUAAGGUAACGGCUUACCAAGGCAACGAUGCGUAGCCGACCUGAGAGGGUGAUAGGCCACACUGGAACUGAGACACGGUCCAGAGUCCUACGGGAGGCAGCAGUAGGGAAUCUUCCGCAAUGGGCGAAAGCUUGACGGAGCAACGCCGCGUGAGUGAUGAAGGUCUUCGGAUCGUAAAACUCUGUUAUUAGGGAAGAACAAAUGUGUAAGUAACUAUGCACGUCUUGACGGUACCUAAUCAGAAAGCCACGGCUAACUACGUG